rnacentral:rRNA from 1 species
UAGGGAAUAUUGGUCAAUGGGCGGAAGCCUGAACCAGCCAUGCCGCGUGAAGGACGAAGGCCCUCUGGGUCGUAAACUUCUUUUACAUGGGAAGAAAACCCCCGGUGCGCCGGGGACUGACGGUACCAUGGGAAUAAGCACCGGCUAACUCCGUGCCAGCAGCCGCGGUAAUACGGAGGGUGCGAGCGUUAUCCGGAAUCACUGGGCUUAAAGGGUACGUAGGCUGUCGUCUAAGUCUGGGGUGAAAGGCCGUGGCUCAACCAUGGGAGCGCCCUGGAUACUGGACGACUUGAAUGAGGAUGAGGUUGGCGGAAUGCGUCAUGUAGCGGUGAAAUGCUUAGAUAUGACGUGGAACACCGAUUGCGAAGGCAGCCAACUGGGCCUCCAUUGACGCUGAGGU